AUUACCCUUUGUACACACCGCCCGUCGCUACUACCGAUUGAAUGGUUUAGUGAGGCCUCCUGACUGGCGCCGACACUCUGCUCCGGCAGAGAGUCGGAGGCCGGGAAGUUGUUCAAACUUGAUCAUUUAGAGGAAGUAAAAGUCGUAACAAGGUUUCCGUAGGUGAACCUGCGGAAGGAUCAUUACCGAGUAGCUACCCGCUUGCACCGGCCGCGAGUCGGCGAGUGUGGGGUGUUUACUACCGUGUGAACCGACUGAAAAAUCUUUAGGGGUCGGCUCGUUCCGUUAAGAGGGGAGCACCGUGACCAACCUCGCGGUGGGCUCCUGCCCCGACGGUGUUUUCACGUGACACAUUUGAUGGAAAGACUGAGCACAGAGAGAGACAUUAUCUUCUGACAUAAAGAAAAAAGUUGUGACAACUUUUGGCGGUGGAUCUCUAGGCUCACGCAUCGAUGAAGAACGCAGCCAGCUGCGAUAAGUAGUGUGAAUUGCAGAAUUCAGUGAAUCAUCGAAUCUUUGAACGCAAAUGGCGCUCUUGGGUUCCCCCAGGAGCAUGUCUGUCUGAGUGUCUUUUCCGUUGAAUGACAUUCGUACGAUAUUGCCGUGUUUUGCUAUGGCAUUUCGUGUGGCGUUGAGGUUCGCGGCCUUGCGAUGCUUGGGCCGCGUGCCUUUAAAUGGAGGAGGAAGAGGGGCUGGACGUCCGGUGCAGUCGCAUGCGGAUUCAGCUAGUGUGCCGCACGCGACUGCUGCAUCGGGAUGUCGUCUUGGGCCCUCUCCCUUGUGACCUUUUAGGGCGCUCGGACCUCAGAUCAGGCAAGGCUACCCGCUGAAUUUAAGCAUAUUAAUAAGCGGAGGAAAAGAAACUAACAAGGAUUCCCCCAGUAACGGCGAGUGAAGCGGGAAGAGCUCAAAUUUGAAAUCUCCGAUGCCUGCAUCGGCGAGUUGUAGUUGCGAGAAGCACUUUCUAGGCGGAAGGGCCCUGCCUAAGUUGCUUGGAACGGCACGUCGCAGAGGGUGACAACCCCGUCUGUGGCAGGGCCGGCCGCCCACGAUGUGCUUUCGAAGAGUCGGGUUGCUUGGGACUAAUCGAAUUCCC
rnacentral:rRNA from 1 species